UGAAUACGAGACGCUAAGGCGUUGAAGUAGUGUAUGUCAUACUUCCAAGAAAAGCUUGCACUGUCAUAGAUAAAAAACGCCUGUACCAUAACCGACACAGGUGGGUAGGUAGAGUAUACUAAGGGGCGCGAGAUAACUCUCUCUAAGGAACUCGGCAAAAUAACUCCGUAACUUCGGGAGAAGGAGUGCCUUAUUUAUAAGGCUGCAAUAACAAGAUCCAAGCAACUGUUUAUCAAAAACACAGGUCUCCGCUAAGUCGUAAGACGAUGUAUGGGGGCUGACGCCUGCCCAGUGCCAGAAGGUUAAAGAAGUUGGUUAGCAAUAGCGAAGCUGAUAACUGAAGCCCUGGUGAACGGCGGCCGUAACUAUAACGGUCCUAAGGUAGCGAAAUUCCUUGUCGGGUAAGUUCCGACCCGCACGAAAGGCGUAAUGAUUUGGAUACUGUCUCGGAGAGGGGCUCGGUGAAAUAGACUUGUCUGUGAAGAUGCGGACUACCUGCACCAGGACAGAAAGACCCUAUGAAGCUUUACUGUAACUUGAAAUUGAAAUUGGACUUUAUUCGCGCAGUAUAGGUGGGAGGCGUUGAUUGUAAUCUUGCGGGAUUAUUGGAGCCAUCAGUGAGAUACCACCCUUGUAAUGUUAGAUUUCUAACUUUGAAUCAUUAUCUGGUCAAAGAACAGUUUCAGGCGGGCAGUUUGACUGGGGCGGUCGCCUCCUAAACGGUAACGGAGGCGUACAAAGGUUUCCUCUGAACGGUUAGAAAUCGUAUCUAGAGUGUAAAGGCAUAAGGAAGCUUGACUGUGAGACCUACAAGUCGAGCAGGGACGAAAGUCGGUCUUAGUGAUCUGACGGUACUGAGUGGAAAGGCCGUCACUCAACGGAUAAAAGUUACUCUAGGAUAACAGGCUGAUCUCCCCCAAGAGUUCACAUCGACGGGGAGGUUUGGCACCUUGAUGUCGGCUCAUCGCAUCCUGGGGCGGUAGUACGUCCCAAGGGUUGGGCUGUUCGCCCAUGAAAGCGGUACGCGAGCUGGGUUCAGAACGUCGUGAGACAGUUCGGUCCAUAUCCGGUGUAGGCGUUAGAAUAUUGAGAGGAGCCUUCUUUAGUACGAGAGGACCGAGAAGGACAUACCUCUGGUGUACCAGUUAUCGUGCCAACGGUAAACGCUGGGUAGCUAUGUAUGGAGUGGAUAACCGCUGAAAGCAUCUAAGUGGGAAGCCCACCUCAAGAUAAGUAUUCUCAC
rnacentral:rRNA from 1 species